ACAUUUUUACAAGGUUUUAACACAAAUAUUGCAAGGUGUGAAUUACAGUUUUUAAAAUUUGUCAUGUUAAGAUUACAAUUUUAUAAUAGUCACAAAAUCCAAAACCGCUACAUAAAAGUAUAUAUUUGUAUUAAGUACACCCCCUAUGUAACCAAGAGCAUUCCAACUCCUAAACCAACCCAUAUUGCUAUCCAUUAUCCUACGUAUGAUGCAACCCCUAAUCCGAUUCAAUAAUUUAGUACAGAGCGCUCCAGCAAAGGUGAUCAGUGUUGGCCACCUGGCAAAGCCCAGUACCAAUUACUUAGUAAGGGGAAGCAGGGUCUCCCUGAUACUGGGGUCAUUAAUUUAAUUUGCAUAAGGUGGAAAUUGCACUAAACUGCAAUAAUUUUCAAAGGGCUAUGUGGUGCACUCACUUAGAGAAAUGCACAUAACUCAUCUGUCAGCCUGGAAGCACUUACUAUGGCCCCAGUUGACAGAGGGGACCCUCAGGUAUCAAAAGAUUCCUGGUGUUCCCUGAUUUGAACAAAAACAUAUAGCGUGGCCACAUGGACCUUGGUAGAGGAUCUUCUAUAUCUUCUAUCCUGUCUGACAGAAUGUACUCACUGGGAGCAAAAAAAAUGUCUAUCAGCCUGGAUAGAGGAUACAGAUCUGCCCGGCCACACUACAUGGUAGGAGGUCAGCAGACACAGGAGGGGAGAGGGGAUAGAGAUCACAAAGGGAGGGGUGGAUUGGAGAGGGUCUGUGAGAGGCAUACACAGAGAGGGGCUGCGAGGCAUAUACAGUGAGGGGCUAGGGGGAGAAGUGACUGCCCCGUCACUCCUCCCAGCUUACAGUGGGAGCCGCGCGGGAAGAAGAGAGAAGGGAGUCAGAGUGGGAACUCUUGACUCCCAUCAGGCUGAGCCACCUCUGGACCCCAAGGAAGUCACCCUCCUGCAUCUAAAAGGUAGGAAACAGGAAGGUGACUAAAAUAUUUUGUAUGUGUGUGUUUUUUUUGUAUGUAUGUGUACGUGUGUGUGGCGCCCAUGGAUCAGUUUUCGCACCGAGGCCCCAUGGAUCAUGUGUACGCCACUGCACAGAGAGGCUGGGGGAAGAAAGACAUACAAAGGGGAUUGGGAAGUGCUGAGAAUGAGACACACAGAGUGGCUGAAGGGGAGAAAAAGACUCAGAGGGCCUGUGGGAGAGAGUGAGAUACACAGAGGGGAGAAAGUGUGCAUUUCUUCACUCCCAGGACAUGGAGGUUCAGCCUGCCGCUCCUGUUGUCCAGGUCAUCCACCCAGGUAGUUAAGUGGGCCACACUUGAAUCGCAGCUGCUAAUUGCUGAGCUGGCAGCAUCCAUGUCGGAGCGGAGGGCCCUGGAUUGGGGUUAACCCAAAGUGCAUAACUUUGCAUUUUUCUACAUUAAAUUUCAUUUUCCAUUUGAGUAUCCAGUCCCCUAAAAUCGAUCUAAAUCCCUCUGCAGUGAAGUAAUAGCCUGCUCACAUUGUAUUAAUUUACAGAGUUUUGUGUUGCCUACUGUGACGAAAGCAACUUCGCCACUGGUUUUUGGAGAGGACUACUUGCCAGCCUUUUACCCUGUGACUAUGGCCUCUUUAAUUUAUUUUGGCUGAGAAACCCUAAUUGUGCCUACUGGAACUUUAAACAUUUGGUUCUUCGAACGCCCGAAUAUUUGAAGUGGCUGCCGUUCGAACACUUGAUGGCGGCCAUUUUGUUUGCAUGGGCUAAAACCGCGAAUAGACUUCAGGGGGACUUAGCCGUGAAUGCCCUGGAACUAUUUUCGGCAUGAAGACGUCGCGGUUCCCAGUCGGUCCUCCAGCGGCACUUAGCUGCGAUUCUAUAGAACAGUUUUGGGCAUGAAAUCCUGUGUUUGCCUGGUCAAGAAUAUGACUUUCAUAAAAUUUCUGAACUACUUAUCUGGACGAUUUUUGGAUAUGUUGUUCACCCAGAUCAGGGUAUGUUGUGUUUUGGGGUACUUAUGGUACUUUAUAUAAAUGCGUGUUUUUCUGCCUGUGGAUAAUUAAGUUAAUGCAUUAACUACCUUAACUAUAUCACAGGCAGAGGGGAGUGAUUGUUUACUGAAUGUAGGAGUGUCGCACUGUUAAUUACUGUUUUGAUUGGUUUACGUCCCUUGUGUCCCUGUCUUCCAUCAAGUCCAGUGGGUGUGCCUCUGGCCUGAAAAACUGUAUAAAAAUCUAAUCUGUGCCAUUAAUCUUUCUGUUCCCUCAACAUGUAGUCUUGUCUCGUGAUUGGAGGGGAACUGCUAUAAUCAUACUGGGGAUUGCUAUACUCUGUAUACUCCCCUGGGUUCUAAUCACUUAGCUCUUUUAAGAGCUGUUCCUG